GGAUUAGAUACCCUGGUAGUCCACGCUGUAAACGAUGGAUACUAGGUGUUCGGCUUUCGGGUUGAGUGCCUAAGGGAAACCGAUAAGUAUCCCACCUGGGGAGUACGUCCGCAAGGAUGAAACUCAAAGGAAUUGACGGGGGCCCGCACAAGCGGUGGAGCAUGUGGUUUAAUUCGAUGAUACGCGAGGAACCUUACCUGGGCUAGAAUGCGCGUGACGUACCGGGAAACCGGUAUUCCCUUCGGGGCACAAAGCAAGGUGCUGCAUGGUUGUCGUCAGCUCGUGCCG
rnacentral:rRNA from 1 species